UACAGAGGUCUCAAGCGUUGUUCGGAUUCAUUGGGCGUAAAGGGUGCGUAGGUGGCGGGGUAAGUCUGGUGUGAAAUCUCGGGGCUCAACCCCGAAACUGCACUGGAUACUGCCUUGCUCGAGUACUGGAGAGGAGAUUGGAAUUUACGGUGUAGCAGUGAAAUGCGUAGAUAUCGUAAGGAAGACCAGUGGCGAAGGCGAAUCUCUGGACAGUUACUGACACUGAGGCACGAAAGCGUGGGGAGCAAACAGG
rnacentral:rRNA from 1 species